UUCGGUUCGCUGGGAAAAAAAAUCUUGUCAAAAAGCCCAAAUAUUUGGCCGAAGCUGAAUCCUGGAUUCGGUGCAUCCCUACUUUAAACCGACUUUUCUUUUAAUCCAAAAAAUGGUAUUAACUCAGUAUAUUAGUCUGUGUUUCUACGGACGUUUCUAACAGUGUAGGCAACUUUUCACCACAAAUAUUAAAAAAACUAUCUCAUAAAAAAUACAACUCACAAACUGGAAGUGACUUGAAAAACUCUGGCGAAGAGGAUUUAAAAAAAGGAAAGGGAAAGGGAGCGUCCUGAUUGGCUCCAGGUGUGUUUUCAGUUUGUUGAUGAAAGGGAGCGUCCUGAUUGGCUCCAGGUGUGUUUUCAGUUUGUUGAUGAAAGGGAGCGUCCUGAUUGGCUCCAGGUGUGUUUCCAGUUUGUUGAUGUUGUUGUGCUCCUGAAGCCUUAAACCUGACUGUGUGUGUAACUUUGAAAUGUUUCUUCUUUCACUUUGUGUUCAUUUAAACAAACGUGUUAAAUAUUUUCACCGACCAGCUAAGGCUUCCAAAGAUCA